CGAAUGCUGACAUAAGUAACGAUAAAGCGGGUGAAAAGCCCGCUCGCCGGAAGACCAAGGGUUCCUGUCCAACGUUAAUCGGGGCAGGGUGAGUCGACCCCUAAGGCGAGGCCGAAAGGCGUAGUCGAUGGGAAACAGGUUAAUAUUCCUGUACUUGGUGUUACUGCGAAGGGGGGACGGAGAAGGCUAUGUUGGCCGGGCGACGGUUGUCCCGGUUUAAGCGUGUAGGCUGGUUUUCCAGG
rnacentral:rRNA from 1 species